rnacentral:rRNA from 2 species
UGCAAGUCGAACGAACUCUGGUAUUGAUUGGUGCUUGCAUCAUGAUUUACAUUUGAGUGAGUGGCGAACUGGUGAGUAACACGUGGGAAACCUGCCCAGAAGCGGGGGAUAACACCUGGAAACAGAUGCUAAUACCGCAUAACAACUUGGACCGCAUGGUCCGAGUUUGAAAGAUGGCUUCGGCUAUCACUUUUGGAUGGUCCCGCGGCGUAUUAGCUAGAUGGUGAGGUAACGGCUCACCAUGGCAAUGAUACGUAGCCGACCUGAGAGGGUAAUCGGCCACAUUGGGACUGAGACACGGCCCAAACUCCUACGGGAGGCAGCAGUAGGGAAUCUUCCACAAUGGACGAAAGUCUGAUGGAGCAACGCCGCGUGAGUGAAGAAGGGUUUCGGCUCGUAAAACUCUGUUGUUAAAGAAGAACAUAUCUGAGAGUAACUGUUCAGGUAUUGACGGUAUUUAACCAGAAAGCCACGGCUAACUACGUGCCAGCAGCCGCGGUAAUACGUAGGUGGCAAGCGUUGUCCGGAUUUAUUGGGCGUAAAGCGAGCGCAGGCGGUUUUUUAAGUCUGAUGUGAAAGCCUUCGGCUCAACCGAAGAAGUGCAUCGGA